GCGUAAGAGCUCGUAGGCGGUUCAGCAAGUCGGGUGUGAAAACUCUGGGCUUAACCCAGAGCCUGCACUCGAAACUGCUGUGACUAGAGUUCGGUAGGGGAGCAGGGAAUUCCUAGUGUAGCGGUGAAAUGCGCAGAUAUUAGGAGGAACACCAAUGGCGAAGGCACUGCUCUGGGCCGAUACUGACGCUGAGGAGCGAGAGCGUGGGUAGCAAACAGGAUUAGAUACCCUGGUAGUCCACGCCGUAAACGGUGGGCACUAGUUGUGGGGACCUUCCACGGUCUCUGCGACGCAGCUAACGCAUUAAGUGCCCCGCCUGGGGAGUACGAUCGCAAGAUUAAAACUCAAAGGAAUUGACGGGGCCCCGCACAAGCAGCGGAGCAUGCGGCUUAAUUCGACGCAACGCGAAGAACCUUACCAAGGCUUGACAUAUACAGGAAUAUGGCAGAGAUGUCAUAGCCGCAAGGUCUGUAUACAGGUGGUGCAUGGUUGUCGUCAGCUCGUGUCGUGAGAUGUUGGGUUAAGUCCCGCAACGAGCGCAACCCUCGUUCUGUGUUGCCAGCAUUAAGUUGGGGACUCACAGGAGACUGCCGGGGUUAACUCGGAGGAAGGUGGGGAUGACGUCAAAUCAUCAUGCCCCUUAUGUCUUGGGCUGCACGCAUGCUACAAUGGCCGGUACAAACGGCUGCGAUACCGCA
rnacentral:rRNA from 1 species